rnacentral:rRNA from 1 species
UACGGGGGGAGCAAGCGUUGUUCGGAUUUACUGGGCGUAAAGGGCGCGUACGCGGUCACGACAAGUCAGUUGUGAAAUCUCCGGGCUUAACUCGGAACGGUCAACUGAUACUGUCGGACUAGAGUGCAGAAGGGGCAACUGGAAUUCUCGGUGUAGCGGUGAAAUGCGUAGAUAUCGAGAGGAACACCUGCGGCGAAGGCGGGUUGCUGGGCUGACACUGACGCUGAGGCGCGAAAGCUAGGGGAGCGAACGGG